AAACGUACAAAAUCAGCAGGGGAUCAAAUACUUUUUCCCCUCACUGUAUGUAAGUGUAGAUGUGAUUGAACAGGGUUUGCAGUAAUCAGGCCUGGUUACAUCUAGUCCAGCUGAACCCCAUUAUCAAUGCAGUUUCAUAGAUUUGGGGCAUUAGUAACUAUGGGGGCAAAUACAUGUUCACACCAGCCCAGUUGGUAUUGGAUAAGUUUUUGCUUCAAUAAAUAACAUUAUCUUUUAAAAACUGUAUUUUUUGUUUUCUCAGGUUGCCUUUGUUUGAUCUUAUAAUUUUGUUUUAAUUUCGAAAACAAUUUAGUACAAGAUAUAAACAUAAACAGAAGAAAUCAGGAUGGGGCAAAUACUUUUUCACAGCACUGUAGGUGUUUGCUAGGGUGUUGCUAGUGGACACUAUGACAUUCGAUGUGGUUGCAAGAGUAUUGGUAGGGUGUUGCUAGGGUAUCCCAGUUGGUUGCUAGGGUGUUGAUGGGUGGUUGCUAUGCAAUCCCAGGUGGUUGCUGUGGAAUUUCAGUUGGUUGCUAGGGUUUUGAUAAAUAGUUACUGUUGUAUUCUAGCUGGUUGCUAGGGUGUUGGUAAGUGGUUGCUAUGAUAUUCUAGGUGGUUGGUAGGGUUUGAUAGGUGGUUGCUGUGGCAUUUCAGUUGGUUGCUAGGGUUGGUUGCAUUUUAGUUGGUUACUAGGUAGUUGCUAUGGUGUUUUGGGUGGUUGCUAGGGUGUUUCUAGGUGGUUGCAAUGGUAUUCCAGAUGGUUGCUAGGGUGUUGCUAGGUGGUUGCUAUGGUAUUCCAGAUGGUUGCUAGGAUGUUGCUAGGUGAUUGAUAUAUCCAUUCCAUGUGGUUGUGUUGCGUUUGCUAGGUGGCUUCUGUGGUAUUCCAGGUGGUUGCUAGGUCUUAGCUAGGUGGUUGCUAUGGAAUCUUAGCUACAAAUAAACACACUAACAACAAUCUGUCAUAUUCCAGGGAGUGACUAAGGUGUUAGUAGGAAGAAAAUUGCAGUUCUUUUUCAUUUCUACUGACCGCCAG
ensembl:lncRNA